rnacentral:rRNA from 1 species
UCCAACGGGUGGCAGCAGUGGGGAAUAUUGGACAAUGGGCGAAAGCCUGAUCCAGCCAUGCCGCGUGUGUGAAGAAGGUCUUCGGAUUGUAAAGCACUUUAAGUUGGGAGGAAGGGCAGUAAGCUAAUACCUUGCUGUUUUGACGUUACCAACAGAAUAAGCACCGGCUAACUCUGUGCCAGCAGCCGCGGUAAUACAGAGGGUGCAAGCGUUAAUCGGAAUUACUGGGCGUAAAGCGCGCGUAGGUGGUUCAGCAAGUUGGAUGUGAAAUCCCCGGGCUCAACCUGGGAACUGCAUCCAAAACUACUGAGCUAGAGUACGGUAGAGGGUGGUGGAAUUUCCUGUGUAGCGGUGAAAUGCGUAGAUAUAGGAAGGAACACCAGUGGCGAAGGCGACCACCUGGACUGAUACUGACACUGAGGUGCGAAAGCGUGGGGAGCAAACAGGAUUAGAUACCCGGGUAGUCUG